ACCAACAGGGAUUACCUCAGUAACGGCGAGUGAAGCGGUAACAGCUCAAAUUUGAAAGCUAGCUCUUUUAGGGUUCGCAUUGUAAUUUGUAGAAGAUGCUUCGGGUGUGGCCCCGGUCUAAGUUCCUUGGAACAGGACGUCAUAGAGGGUGAGAAUCCCGUAUGUGACUGGGUGCUUUCGCUCAUGUGAAGCUCUUUCGACGAGUCGAGUUGUUUGGGAAUGCAGCUCAAAAUGGGUGGUAAAUUUCAUCUAAAGCUAAAUAUUGGCCAGAGACCGAUAGCGCACAAGUAGAGUGAUCGAAAGAUGAAAAGCACUUUGGAAAGAGAGUUAAACAGUACGUGAAAUUGUUGAAAGGGAAGCGCUUGCAACCAGACUUGCGCGCUGAUGAUCAUCCGGGCUUCUGUCCGGUGCACUCGUCUGCGCUCAGGCCAGCAUCGGUUUCGGUGGUGGGAUAAAGGCCUUGGGAAUGUAGCUUCUUUCGGGGAGUGUUAUAGCCCUCGGUGCAAUGCCGCCUACCGGGACCGAGGACCGCGCUUCGGCUAGGAUGCUGGCGUAAUGGUUGUAAGCGACCCGUCUUGAAACACGGACCAAGGAGUCUAACAUCUAUGCGAGUGUUUGGGUGUCAAACCCAUACGCGUAAUGAAAGUGAACGGAGGUGAGAACCCUUAAGGGUGCAUCAUCGACCGAUCCUGAUGUCUUCGGAUGGAUUUGAGUAAGAGCAUAGCUGUUGGGACCCGAAAGAUGGUGAACUAUGCGUGAAUAGGGUGAAGCCAGAGGAAACUCUGGUGGAGGCUCGCAGCGGUUCUGACGUGCAAAUCGAUCGUCAAAUUUGCGUAUA
rnacentral:rRNA from 1 species